rnacentral:rRNA from 1 species
CAGUAGCCGCGGUAAUACGAAGGGUGCAAGCGUUAAUCGGAAUUACUGGGCGUAAAGCGUGCGUAGGCGGUGAGUUAAGUCUGCUGUGAAAUCCCCGGGCUCAACCUGGGAAUGGCAGUGGAUACUGGCUCGCUAGAGUGUGUCAGAGGAUGGUGGAAUUCCCGGUGUAGCGGUGAAAUGCGUAGAGAUCGGGAGGAACAUCAGUGGCGAAGGCAGCCCCCUGGGCCAAUACUGACGCUCAUGCACGAAAGCGUGGGGAGCAAACAGGAUUAGAUACCCCCGUAGUCCCUGUCUCUUAUAC